ACAGAGGACAGCCCCUGAAGGCAUAAGCAGGAAGGGCAUAAUGCUUUCCAAAAGAGAAAACUACAUGGACUUUACUGACUCAUCACUGAGUUCUGAGAUCACUGACACUUACACAUGUGUCCACGCUGUUGUGAGUCAUGGGGAAAAAUGGAGGAGCAAAAUGACCAAGUGGCAGGGUCUGUAAGAGUCUCUCACUGUAGGGAUGGGCUGCCCUGAGGAGACACUGCCCAGGCCUGGGUGCCCCGGGCCAAAGUCCUGACCCUUGCAGGGCUGUGUCCUGUGGAUGACAUGUGGCACUGGACUGCUCACUGACAGGUAGGAACUAUGCACUGAGAGGUGGGAACUGCUGGCCGGGGGGUGGGAACUGCUGGCCGAGGGGUGGGAACCGCCUGCUGAGGGGUGGGAACUACUGGCUGGGGAGUGGGAACUGGGCACUGAGAGGUGGGAACUGCUGACCAGGAGGUGGGAACUGCUGGCCCGGGGGUGGGAACUAUGCACUGAGAGGUGGGAACUGCUGACCAGGGGAUGGGAACUGCCUGCUGAGGGGUGGGAACUGUGCACUGAGAGGUGGGAACUGUGCACUGAGAGGUAGGAAUUGCUGGCCAGGGGGUUGGAACUGCCUGCUGAGGGGUGGGAACUGCCCACUGAGAGGCAGGAACUGGGCUGAGUGCUCAGUUUUCCUGUUCUGCUGAUAUCUUCAGAGGCAUCAGGAUGUGGCUGCCUUUGGGGAAGCUGCAUUUACCCAGCCAAGGAUGCUGCCUCCAGAAACAGAAGUGGCCUCAGGCCAGAAAUAGGGGUCUGCCUUUUUAAUAUAUUGUGUUGGUUAAAUCAGCAGUCCCCAAACUUUAUGGUACCAGGGACCAGUUUCAUGGAAGACAAUUUUUCCAUCAACUGGCAGUGGGGGCAGUGGGGGCAGUGGGGGUGGUUUCUUGAUGAUUCAAGUGCAUUACAUUAAUUAAUUAAUUAGUUUGUU
rnacentral:lncRNA from 1 species